GGCCCUGGGGCGGGAGGGGCCCUUCUGGAGGCAGGGGAGGAGCCUGGGGGGCUGGGGCCGCUUGUUGGCGUAGCCGCGCCCUGCUGCUUUGGGAGAACCUUCGGCAGCUUCCCAGGGAGCAGGUGCUGCUUCUCUGAGUUCCCAGGUGUUCUCACGUCUCUGCCUUAGGAAGUCGUUAUUUUUCGAAGCACCCUCUGAAAUGCGGUAGCGGCCAGGGUCCUGAUGGGAGGAGGGCACCCAGGUCGGUGGGUCUGGGGCUGGCUCGUCCUGCAGCUCAGCACCCUGGGCCUGUGUGCACAGCGACCUGUUGUGGAAUGAGGUCUGAUUUUCCAAGGAAAGAAGUCCUCCGCUCAGACCCCCUCCUUUGUCUUCGUCUUGUUAUUGUAUUUUAAUGCCUUUUAUUUUCCAGGUUUAAGAUGCUUGUGUUUGUUUUGCACAAACUCUUCCAAGAAAUCCCCAGUUCUAAAACCCGAAGGGGAUCUCAUCUGAGUGAUACAGGAGCCGAGCAAAGGAUACAAUGAAAUCAAUGCGAUUUGCUUUUGCACCCAUGUUUUUGGGCCCGCCCCAUCGUUAAUUAACCCUGAUGGCUGUCAGGGCCUUUGCAGAUGUGAUUGGACAGGGCUCUCGGUGAGGUCCUCCUGGGUGAGGGCGGGCCCUGAACCGAGGCCUGGGGCCCUUACAAGAAGAGCAGCCACGGAGGCAGACGUGUGAGGACCCCUGAGGACCGAGGAGGGGGCUGCAGCCGGAGCCCCCAGAGGAGCCGGGCUCACAGACGCCUGGGGUGCGCACCGCUGGCCUGCAUGUGAGGUGGGGGACACGGGUGGUGUCCAGCUGCCCUGUCCGUGGUGAUUUGCUGCGGCAGCUUCGGGAAACUAACCCAGUCUUUCAGAUGAGACCCUGGGGCUGGGAGGGUUCAGCUUUCCACCCACAGUCGUGCAGGCGGUGAGCAAGGGCUGGCCCCAGGCCGGCGUCUCCCCAGUGCUGGGUGUGGGGAGGACCCGGCACACCCGUGGGCCAGGAUGGAGCCCUGGGCACCGUCCGCACUGCUCGCAGGUGUCCCAGGUUGUCGUCCUGGUGGACGGCGCCCGUCUCUGAAACCAAAACCCUUUCCCUGUCGCCGCCGGCCCUGCCGGUCCUGCCCCAGGAACGUGUCUGUCGGUGCCCCUGUCGCUGUCCCCCGGCUCCGCUGGUCCCCGGCCCCCCCCGCAUGGGUGCACCCGGGUCACAUCCUCCCGGAGGGAUCCUUAGUUGAAGGCUCCUGACUGGUGGCCGGAGUCCACCCUGCUGUCUGGCCGCACGUGGCCACCUGGCAUCGCAGUCACCCUGGGCGCCUGUGUUGUCUGCUGGCCACAUCGGCGCCGUCUCGAGGGGGCGUCCUCCAUGGACUGUUUCGUCGUCUUCCUGGCUGAAGCGAGUCUCUCUCGCGCCUUCUCCCACCUUGCCCGGCACCCGCCAGAUGCCCCGCUGUUGGGAGUGCCUGGGGUUGGCCGUGAGGACCAGGCGAGGGAACCCAAGGCCGUGGAAGCUGCACCGGAUCACAGCGCUGGUGGCCCAGCGGACCUCGCUGAAUGAGCGGCCCUCUCCCCCAGGUGGCGGCCGGGGUCUCGGGGCCGCAGCCCAGCUCCGUGCCGGCCGGGCCUGGUCCUCACGCGCAGCUGGCAGCGUGCGCUGCGUGGGGUCCAGGGCGAGUGGCCGCUCCGGCCCUGGGCGAGCCUCACGGGGACGGAGGGACCGUCCCGGGCUCCACAGGUCUAUUUGAGGGAAUCGUCCUGCACGGCCUGUCCUGUGUGUGCGUGUGUGUGCAUGUGCACAUGCAGGUGAGUGUCACAGAACAUGAACACACGCGUCGCUAUCCCGAACAAUUCCGAGGCAGCGUGUGAAGCCCCUUCCCGCGAUGGGCCCCAGCCACGCCCCUGGAAAAUGCACUGCAGACCUUGGGUGUGGCCCCAGCACUGCUUUCCUGGACGGCACAUCUUGUUAGCGUCAGCACGUGGAAGGAAUGACUGACGUUUUCUCUGUGGCUCGAGUAUACGGUAUGGGUUGAAGUAUUUGUAUUCCGGACGGGGCGACACUUAACGCUGUGUCCCGGUUUUUGGUUUGGCUUUGCUUUCCGUGAUCGCGAAGGGUGCCGCACACCCUUGUGGGCCGUGGGUCUCGGGCGCCUGCGGUCCAGCAGCAUCAGCGCUCCCGCCAAGGCUGUUGGUGAAGCGACCCUCCUCACUCUGCUCCCCUCGCUCCUGUGUGCUCUCUCCUCCCCGGGCCCUGAGGGUUGUGGAGCCUGGAAAGCCCUGCACUGCGGCUCCCACUGCCAGGUCAGGCCUCGCCCCUCCCAGGGCACUAGCGCUGUUCCCCGUGGGCCGCUGAGGCCCCAGGAUGACGAGGUUGUCUGAGUGUCCCUGUGUCGUGACACCCGACCCGCAGGGACCGGCUGGCCUUCCGUGGCAGCAGUGGGAACCAUCUGCAACCAGGUGUCAAUUACUUUGUAUUUCCAGAAAUCGAGAGAAAGCAUAAAGGAUGACAUUAAAAAACCACCAUUCUAAAAAAAGGCCUGGCGCUCUGCAGACACUGAAAAGCUCAUCUCUUUCUGCUCCUACAAGCCAGGUCUGGGUGUGCAUCCCCACGAGGUUCAUGGCUGACAGGUCUCCCGCCUGGUGAGCAUUUGGCUGGGGGUUGGGGGGGCUGGCCCCGUCUUGGACUGGCUCAGACUGGCUCGUGCUGGCUCAGUCACUCCUGGGCUCACCGGCUGCAGGGCCGUCCCAGGCCCGAGGGUGCCACAGCGGACAGGCCGCCCCGCGCCGUCCAGGACACAGGUCAUGGAAGGGCGGAGGCGAGCGGUGGCAGGGGCCCUGCUCCCCCGCAGGCUGCCCACAGCAUUGGCGCAGGGAGCGCAGGAAGGGGAGUGGGUGUCUUGCCAGCUCAGCUGCUGUGACAGAUGCCACCAAUAGCGGCUCUGGGGCCUGGACGUCAGAGCUCCAGGUGCCACAGGGCUGGCUGCUCCCAGGCCUCGCUCCAUGGCCGAGUCCGCACGUGGCCUCUCCUCCCCACCCUGUGACUUCACCUCACCUGCGUCACCUCCUCGAAGGCCCGUCUCCACAGACGGUCACGCUGGGGUGAAGGCUUCAAACUGUGAGUUUUGGGGAGCCUGUGCGGGAAGAGCUUUCUGGGCGCUUCCCAGGAGUCUGUGAUGGGCGGAGGGAAAACGGAGUGCGAACUAGAUAAGGUACAGCUGUUACCCCAGACCUUACAGACACCCGGGGCACGCUUCCCUCGCUGCCUCUGAGGAUCUGCAAACGUGCGGAGCCUCAGCGAGCCCCAGACGGCAGGGGUUUAGUGCUCUCCCUGCCUGUCUCGACGCCCCCGGAGGGAAUGGGGGUCGGGGAGGGUGCGUCCAGGAUGCAAAUACUGAUUUACUGGGGAACCUGGAGUCCGGUUUCUGACUGGCUUGGCCUCCGCCCCCGGGAGCCUGUGUGGUGUUACCCGCUCGGUACACGGCGGACCCGGGAAGGACGGUUCCGGAAUCCGAGGGGAUCCGAGCGGACGCCUCCCGCCCCGCGCAGGUUCAAGGUGGAGGCCGAGCCUUGUAAACCAGCACCUCUGCCCCCCGCACCCGCCGCCAGACUUGAAGGAAAACCCUCAAGGUGAAGAAACUAAAAUGGCGUAUUUUGGGGCUUUUGAAACAUAAGGAGUUCUGAUUUUUCUUCUUGAAAAGAGACGAUUUUAGAACCUCCUUGGCACCCCACAGUCCUCUUGGUGGUCUCAUCUUUUUCUCCUAUUUUAAUGUGUAAUGAAGCUGUACUUCAACAAUU